UCACAUGUCAACCGAGCAGCCAAAUAUAUUUUCGGUCGGUCCAAAAAUAACAACCAAAUCAACAAUAAUAUCAUUGGAAAUUGCUAAACAUUUGCUUAAUUUACAAACAUGUAUCAGUAUUAGGAAUUUAAAGUGUAAUUUAAAAUCACAAAAUAAAUACACAACAAAUACAUAAUUUACUGAAUGCAUCAAAUAGGUAAUUGUCACUAUCUACAUACAAGCACAGCAGAAACAACGUAGAACGUGUCAGAAAGGGACUGAUUGACAUGUGAGCUUGCCCUCCCAUUCCCCGUCUCGCUCACCGCCGUAUUCCCCUCUCUUUCGCUCUCUGGGGCUUCUGUUGUGCGUGGGCUUGGUAGAAUGCCUUUGAAGAAACCUUCGCUGCUUUUGGCUUUAUUUUCUGUGUCGCAAAAGGGAACACCGAGAGGCACGCACACACAGACGCCAUUAAUGUAUCACAUAACCCAGUAGCAAGUAGCUAGAGAAGCGGAGAAAGGGGCCCAGAAGAAAGGAGGAGGAGGAGGAGAAGAAAGGCGGGCGGAGAAUAGGGAGCCGUCUGAGUUUUAAUGAGAGAUGCACGCGUGUACCAAUUUCCCUUUGGGAAUCCAUUUUGGACACGUUCGACAUGUGGAACCUGUUUGUUUUCGGGAACCCAGACGGUGGAACCUGUUCCCAGUGAGGUCUCAGCCCAAUCCAGAGUAUAGAAUAACGGUGUCAGGCUGCAGAAACAACGAGGCAAAGUGAAAGAUUCUCGUUAUUAAAGAUGCCCAAAAUAAGAAAAAGGGGAGCAGAUAAGAGCAGUUGGCAAAGUUGUGAAAAGGUUUUUCUUCAAGAUUUUUAAUUUCCAUACUAAAUCUUCAUUAUAAGAGAAUGUACCAUUCUCACUUAUCAAUCAGAUAAGGAAUAAAUCGAUUGUCAAAUAAA